UACGGGGGGAGCAAGCGUUGUUCGGAUUUACUGGGCGUAAAGGGCGCGUAGGCGGCCACCGCAAGUCAGUUGUGAAAUCUCUGGGCUUAACCCAGAAAGGUCAACUGAUACUGCGGGGCUAGAGUGCAGAAGGGGCAACUGGAAUUCUCGGUGUAGCGGUGAAAUGCGUAGAUAUCGAGAGGAACACCUGCGGCGAAGGCGGGUUGCUGGGCUGACACUGACGCUGAUGCGCGAAAGCUAGGGGGAGCGAACGGG
rnacentral:rRNA from 1 species